UAAAGCCUUGAUACCAAAAUUGGGAAA
rnacentral:piRNA from 1 species